rnacentral:misc_RNA from 1 species
AGUAGUUUGUUGUCAUUUGUAACUCAUUAUUUUUAUUCUUUGAAAUAUUAGACUUUAAUUUUACAAUAUCAUCAGUCUUUUGACUGUGAUUCAAACUAUAUCCUCGUAUCUUAUUUAAUUCUUCAACAUUAGCAACUGUUUCACUAUUUGAUGCAGAAUUACUCUUAGAACUUUUUUCUCCAGUUCUCUGCAUAACGUUUAACUUAGUUGUCGCAGAAUCAUCUAAAACAUUUGAAAAAAUAUUAUCUUUGCUUCCUGUUACCUUAGAACGCGAAAGAAAUUUUCCUUUUGCAAUUUUAGAUUCUUCGGAUUCCAGGAUUGGUACAUUAUUAGUCUCAUGUAUAGUUCCCGACUUACUUCUUACAGAAUCGUUUAAUAGAUUCGAAAAAAUAUUAUCUUUGCUUUCUAUUGCCUUAGAACGCAAGGGGAAUUUCCUUUUUGCAAUUUCAGGUUCACCUUCAGAUUCCGACGUUACUACAUUAUUGUUUUCCAUUACAACUUCUGAGGUAGUUGUCGUAGAAUUAUUUAAGACAUUAAAGAAGAUAUUAUCUUUGUUUUGUUUCGCUUUUGAACGCAGAGGAUAUCUUUUUUUUGCAUUUUCCGGUUCUUCCUCGGAUUCCGACGUUAUUACAUUAUUAUUUUCCUUUUUAACAUCUGACUUGGUUGUUACAGAAUCGUUUAAAACGUUCAAAAAAAUAUUAUCCUUGCUUUUUCUUGUCUUUGAACGCAAAUGAUGUUUGCUUUUUGCAAUUUCAAGUUCUUCUUCAGAUUCCGACACCA